AGAGUUUGAUCCUGGCUCAGAACGAACGCUGGCGGCAUGCCUAACACAUGCAAGUCGCACGAGAAGUCGUAGCAAUACGAUUGUAAAGUGGCGCACGGGUGAGUAACACGUAGAUGAUCUGUCCAUGAAACGGGGACAACCUUUAGAAAUGAAGGCUAAUUCCCGAUACGCUCUAGCGGCGGUAACAAAGCUAGAGGAAAGCGGACCUCUGUUCUAAGUUCGCGAUCAUGGAGGAGUCUGCGUCCCAUCAGCUAGUUGGUAGGGUAACGGCCUACCAAGGCUAUGACGGGUAGCUGGUCUGAGAGGACGAUCAGCCACACUGGGACUGAGACACGGCCCAGACUCCUACGGGAGGCAGCAGUGGGGAAUAUUGGACAAUGGGGGAAACCCUGAUCCAGCAAUGCCGUGUGAAGGAAGAAGGCCCUUGGGUCGUAAACUUCUGUCGGUGGGGAAGAAGGUAAUGUGGUGAAUAAUCAUAUUGCUUGACGGUACCCGCAAAGGAAGCACCGGCUAACUCCGUGCCAGCAGCCGCGGUAAUACGGAGGGUGCAAGCGUUGUUCGGAAUUACUGGGCGUAAAGCGUGUCUAGGUGGAUAGACAAGUCUCGUGUGAAAGGCUACGGCUCAACCGUAGCACUGCGCGAGAAACUGUUUGUCUUGAGAUAUAGAGGGGUGAGCGGAAUUCUUGGUGUAGCAGUGAAAUGCGUAGAUAUCAAGAGGAACAUCAGAGGCGAAAGCGGCUCACUGGCUAUGGUCUGACACUGAAGCACGAAAGCGUGGGUAGCAAACGGGAUUAGAUACCCCGGUAGUCCACGCGGUAAACGAUGGGUACUAGUUGUUAGGGGACUUGACCCCCUUAGUGACGCAGCUAACGCGAUAAGUACCCCGCCUGGGAAGUACGGUCGCAGAUUAAAACUCAAAGAAAUUGACGGGGGCCGCACAAGCGUG
rnacentral:rRNA from 1 species